AACGAACGCUGGCGGCAGGCCUAACACAUGCAAGUCGAACGCCGUAGCAAUACGGAGUGGCAGACGGGUGAGUAACGCGUGGGAACAUACCCUUCGGUUCGGAAUAACUCAGGGAAACUUGAGCUAAUACCGGAUACGUCCAAGGUCAAACUUGGAGAAAGAUUUAUCGCCGGAGGAUUGGCCCGCGUCUGAUUAGCUUGUUGGUGAGGUAAUGGCUCACCAAGGCGACGAUCAGUAGCUCGGUCUGAGAGGAUGAUCAGCCACAUUGGGACUGAGACACGGCCCAAACUCCUACGGGAGGCAGCAGUGGGGAAUAUUGGACAAUGGGCGAAAGCCUGAUCCAGCCAUGCCGCGUGAGUGAU
rnacentral:rRNA from 1 species